UACGUAGGUGGCAAGCGUUAUCCGGAAUUAUUGGGCGUAAAGCGCGCGCAGGUGGUUUCUUAAGUCUGAUGUGAAAGCCCACGGCUCAACCGUGGAGGGUCAUUGGAAACUGGGAGACUUGAGUGCAGAAGAGGAAAGUGGAAUUCCAGGUGUAGCGGUGAAAUGCGUAGAUAUCUGGAGGAACACCGGUGGCGAAGGCGGCAUCCUGGACCAACACUGACGCUGAGGAGCGAAAGCCAGGGGAGCAAACGGG
rnacentral:rRNA from 1 species